rnacentral:rRNA from 1 species
CUGUAGUUCCGCGGAGGGCC